rnacentral:siRNA from 1 species
GGGAAUUAUUUGAUAAAGUGACA